GGACCCACCUGAUUCCAUCCCGAACUCAGAAGUGAAACGAAACAGCGUCGAUGGUAGUGUGGGGGCUCCCCAUGUGAGAGUAGAACAUCGCCAGGC
rnacentral:rRNA from 1 species